GACGAACGCUGGCGGCGUGCCUAAUACAUGCAAGUCGAACGCUGAAGGAGGAGCUUGCUUCUCUGGAUGAGUUGCGAACGGGUGAGUAACGCGUAGGUAACCUGCCUGGUAGCGGGGGAUAACUAUUGGAAACGAUAGCUAAUACCGCAUAACAGCAGUUGUUGCAUGACAACUGUUUGAAAGGUGCAAUUGCACCACUACCAGAUGGACCUGCGUUGUAUUAGCUAGUUGGUGGGGUAACGGCUCACCAAGGCGACGAUACAUAGCCGACCUGAGAGGGUGAUCGGCCACACUGGGACUGAGACACGGCCCAGACUCCUACGGGAGGCAGCAGUAGGGAAUCUUCGGCAAUGGACGGAAGUCUGACCGAGCAACGCCGCGUGAGUGAAGAAGGUUUUCGGAUCGUAAAGCUCUGUUGUAAGAGAAGAACGAGUGUGAGAGUGGAAAGUUCACACUGUGACGGUAUCUUACCAGAAAGGGACGGCUAACUACGUG
rnacentral:rRNA from 1 species